CUGCUGCCUCCCGUAGGAGUCUGGGCCGUGUCUCAGUCCCAAUGUGGCCGUCCGCCCUCUCAGGCCGGCUACUGAUCGUCGCCUUGGUAGGCCGUUACCCUCCCAACCAGCUAAUCAGACGCGGGCCCAUCUUAUACCACCUCAGUUUUUCACACUGCGUCAUGCGCCGCUGUGCGCUUAUGCGGUAUUAGCAGCUGUUUCCAGCUGUUAUCCCCCUGUAUAAGGCAGGUUGCCCACGCGUUACU
rnacentral:rRNA from 1 species